GACGAACGCUGGCGGCGUGCCUAACACAUGCAAGUUGAGCGACGAACCAGGGCUUGCCCUGGGGCAAAGCAGCGAACGGGUGAGUAACACGUGGGUAACCUACCCCGAUAACCGGGACAACCCGAGGAAACUCGGGCUAAUACCGGAUGUGCUCACUGGACUUCGGUUCAGUGCGUAAAGGAAGCUUCGGCCUCCGUAUCGGGAGGGGCCCGCGGCCCAUUAGUUUGUUGGUGAGGUAACGGCUCACCAAGACCGCGAUGGGUAGCUGGUCUGAGAGGACGAUCAGCCACACUGGGACUGAGACACGGCCCAGACUCCUACGGGAGGCAGCAGCGGGGAAUCUUGCGCAAUGCGCGAAAGCGUGACGCAGCAACGCCGCGUGGGGGAAGAAGGCCUUCGGGUUGUAAACCCCUUUCAGGAGGGACGAAGGUUCGGCGGUGAAUAGCCGUCCGGACUGACGGUACCUCCACAAGAAGCCCCGGCUAACUACGUG
rnacentral:rRNA from 1 species